GAAGGGCCUCCAGCAUCUUUUCCCAAGGCUUUGAUGAAAGGCGGGGAUCCCUCCCCCAGCCAUGCACUCUGCCGCUCACCUCCCGACCUGGUCUUUUGGCUUCAUCUUUGAUUCACGUGGUGUUGAAACAGUACGCAGGCCUCUCACUGUUGUGGCCUCUCCCAUUGCGGAGCACAGGCUCCGGACGCGCAGGCUCCGGAUGCGCAGGCUCAGCGGCCAUGGCUCACGGGCCCAGCCACUCCGCAGCAUGUGGGAUCUUCCCGGACCGGGGCACGAACCUGUGUCCCCUGCAUCGGCAGGCGGACUCUCAACCACUGCACCACCAGGGAAGCCCUACUUUUUUAUACAGUUUGAAUUUUGAACCAUGUGAAUAUGUAACCUACACAAGACAUUAAAUUAAAAAAAUAGUUGUCUUAUAAAUGAACAGCUGUUUUCCAUUGAUGGAUGAAUGGAUAAACAAAAUGUGGUGUAUACAUACAGUGGAAUAUUAUUCAGUCUUAAAAAGGAGUGAUAUUCUGACACAUGCUACAACAUGGAUGAACCUGAAGGACAUUAUGCUAAGUGAAAUAAGUCAGUCACAAAAAGAUAAAUACUGUAUGAGUCAACUUAUAUGAGAUACCUAGAGUAGUCAAAAUCACAGAGACAGAAAGCAGAAUGGUAGCUCUCAGGGGCUGGGGGGAGAGGGGAGUAGGGAGUUGCCAUUUAAUGUGUACAGAGUUUUAGUUUUGCAAGAUCAAAAGUAUUAUAGAGAUUGUGUGCACGACAUGAAUGCGCUCCCUGUGUUGACUAUACACCUAAAAGUAAAUGGUAAAUGUAACGUUGUAUGUAUUUUACAGCCACUUGAUUAGAUUGAUUUCAUCAUCCCCCUCGGAUUGCAGCCAGGUAGUGUGAUUUGCUGGUGGAUUUCAGGGAUCUACUUCUCUGUCUGGCCUUUCCCUUGGCCAGAUUUUCUGAUUAUCUGAUUGCAAAUCCGGACGAUCUGCUUGCUCUCUGCUUUCAUUUUUAAUCUGAAAAGUAGGAACACCAUUUCCUAACCCUGAUACCUUAAGUAGAUUAUUACAUAUAUAUUACAGAUUAUUGUCUAACCUCAUUCUGUGACCUUCCCCCUACCCAGGUUUUGAAGAAAGCUACAGAGUUAGUAUUCCUGCAAUGCUUCAAGUCUCCUAGAUUUAAAUAAGGCUGAGUAUAAAGGACCCUUUUGACGACUGGGCAUGCCUGAUUGUAUGUCUUCUGAACACUAUUUGUGAUGGUCAUUCGCACACCAAGGGGGAAGCAGGAAACAGAGAUCACAGAAUCCUCUGGCCAAACUGUGAAGCUGGCCUUGAAGUGCAGAAGCAGUGUCAACAUCCCGAGCCCCAUCAGUUCUGUGAGGAAAGUGGCAGAGAGAUGGGAAACCAAUGCUCAGAGGACAAGAGCUGAGUCUAAAGUCACAUCAGUGGUCUCCGAAGGCUUUAAUCAAACUUUUUGACAGAUAUAAGAAAACUGAAGUAAAGAACAUACUUUCCCAGGAUCGUCCUCUUAUGAAGGGAGCAAGCUGAAACCAUUCCCAAUGUUUCUAAGAAAAUGUAAGCUCUGCUAUAAAGGAAGAUCC